AUUGAACGCUGGCGGCACGCUUUACACAUGCAAGUCGGACGGCAGCACAGAGAAGCUUGCUUCUUGGGUGGCGAGUGGCGAACGGGUGAGUAAUAUAUCGGAACGUACCGAGUAAUGGGGGAUAACUAAUCGAAAGAUUAGCUAAUACCGCAUAUUCUCUGAGGAGGAAAGCAGGGGACCUUCGGGCCUUGCGUUAUUCGAGCGGCCGAUAUCUGAUUAGCUAGUUGGUGGGGUAAAGGCCUACCAAGGCGACGAUCAGUAGCGGGUCUGAGAGGAUGAUCCGCCACACUGGGACUGAGACACGGCCCAGACUCCUACGGGAGGCAGCAGUGGGGAAUUUUGGGCAAUGGGCGCAAGCCUGAUCCAGCCAUGCCGCGUGUCUGAAGAAGGCCUUCGGGUUGUAAAGGACUUUUGUCAGGGAAGAAAAGGCUGUUGCUAAUAUCAAUAGCUGAUGACGGUACCUGAAGAAUAAGCACCGGCUAACUACGUG
rnacentral:rRNA from 1 species